ensembl:lncRNA
AGCUGCGCUACCCUGAGAAUGACUCGUGCUAUCAGACAAUGGCCGGGACGGCCCUCUUCACCCACACAGCUUUCAAUAUGCUGCAGAACUACAGCAGAUAGCUUUUAAUCUGUUCAGUUAUCAAAAAGAGAAGCUCCAGACGUACAGAAUCGAGAUCGCUAAAGAUGCGAGGAAUGCUGAGACGUUAACAUCUGAAUUUGAGGCAUCCAUCUAUACACCUGCCAUGGCCGCUGUGCUGAGGAUGUGAUCCACACGUUAGCUGACACUCUGCUUCCUGGUGAUGCCCAGACCAGGGUAGAGUGGGUGCAGGAUCCGGACAGACUGAAGGAGAACAUCCACUCUGCUGUAGAGCACCCUCAUCAGACCCUCGGAGCAGUCGCCGACUUCGACCACUACUACAACAAAGCCAAUAGCUGGUACAGCAUCGUCCUGUGUGAGAACUUUCUCCAAGACCUUCUGUGGGGUGUGAACUGUGACAGCCUCCCCAAAUGGUACCACCCGCUGGAGAUGCAUGGCCCUGACCCUGUGUGGAGGCAGGCGGUCUGUGACUUCCUGAGAAGGAACCCCUCCCCAGACAUAGAGGAGCUGGUCCAGCUGGCUCACCUGGCCAAUGUCAUCCCUGACGCCCAGCUCUAGCAGAAGGGCAAACAGCUGUCACAAAGGUGCAUGACCCUGCGAAAACUCCUGACUUCUCCAGGGGCAGUACCUAUCAACAACUUCCAGUUGGCACUGCAGUGGCAGUAUGAGUUUCUGAGAGCCCGCCACAGGAAAGGGCCUGGGCCACACACUAACCUGGGUGUGGGUGGAGGCCCCGAGGCCUUUAACAGUCCAGACGGGGCAUUAUGUAGUCUCCAUAAAACCUCUGGUUCCAGAUCAGACUGAUAACCUGCACAGCCAUGGCUCCCUCUCUAACCUCAAACACCAAGUCCUUCUAGGUACGUCCCCCUCCAGUGCUAUCUCUGGGGCUGUGUCAGCUGUGGGGAAUACUCGCUCUCUCAGCUCCUCUGACUCUGGCUUUGAUGGAGCAGGAAGCAGCCAUGUGGAGACUGGGG